UUCACAGAUAACGGCAAGUGUGGUGCUUUUCUCUCGACAUGAAGUUCAACCAAUUAUUCGUCUACGUCCUGCUGGCCGCUGUGCUACUACUCGGACAAACCGAGGCUGGCUUUCUGAAGAAAUUUGGCAAAAAACUGGAAGGAGUUGGUCAGCGAGUGUUCGCGGCAUCGGAAAAGGCUCUCCCAGUUGUUGCUGGAUAUAAGGCGGUAGGAAAGUGAUGUGAAGUUACUGCAACAGGUGGACGACGUAACUUUCAACGCUAUUUCCAAGGUAGUAAAAAAUUAUUUGUGAUUGGUUCAAGCUGUUGGUAGAAUUGGUAGGAAAUAAAAAAGUUUUAUAACAGUGCAGAAUUUCUGUGAUUGAUUGCCGACUAACGAUAUAGAUUAACCAAUUUUUGUGAAGUUACAACGGGUUCAACUUUAUGCGCGUCAUAUGUCAAAUUUAACUUCAAUCAGCUUCCAGCGGAAAAAUUGUGUAUUUUCAGUGUCCAGUAAUUAUAAAUCGGUUUUUGUGGACAAGUUUACCGGUAAGCUAACGAGCUAGUAGGGAAUCUAUCGUUGGGGUGAUCGUGAUGGAACGUAUACAGCCAUUUAUUAGAUUUCUUAGAACAUUUUGACGAGUUGCGACUACAGUAAGAUUGAAUAACUCGGAAACGAUUCGAUAUAUGGAAAAAUAUAAAAAUAAAAACGUUGUGUUUUCAAAAAA